GUACUCACUUCAGCAGCACAUAUACUAAAACUGGAACAAUACAGAGAAGAUCCAUAUGGCCCCUGUGCAAGGAUGACACACAAAUUCAUGAAGUGUCCCAUAUUUNN
ensembl:snRNA U6 U6 spliceosomal RNA